UGGGGAAUUUUGGACAAUGGGGGAAACCCUGAUCCAGCCAUCCCGCGUGUGCGAUGAAGGCCUUCGGGUUGUAAAGCACUUUUGGCAGGAAAGAAACGUCAUGGGUUAAUACCCCGUGAAACUGACGGUACCCGCAGAAUAAGCACCGGCUAACUACGUGCCAGCAGCCGCGGUAAUACGUAGGGUGCAAGCGUUAAUCGGAAUUACUGGGCGUAAAGCGUGCGCAGGCGGUUCGGAAAGAAAGAUGUGAAAUCCCAGAGCUCAACUUUGGAACUGCAUUUUUAGCUACCGGGCUAGAGUGUGUCAGAGGGAGGUGGAAUUCCGCGUGUAGCAGUGAAAUGCGUAGAUAUGCGGAGGAACACCGAUGGCGAAGGCAGCCUCCUGGGAUAACACUGACGCUCAUGAACGAAAGCGUGGGGAGCAAACAGG
rnacentral:rRNA from 1 species